AGCAGCUACCUUUAAAUUGCUGCCUGUAAUUAUUGCAGAAUUCCUGCAGCAUGAGAGGGGAACAGCUGGAAUUACUGCCUGGAAUUACUGGCUGGAAUUAUGUGGAAUUAUGCAGAAACUCUGGUGACCAGGAGAAAGCAGCUGCUGACAGGUACUUCUGUCUCACCCCAGCAGGUGCUACAUUAACUCACCCCAUAAACAACACAUCCCGUGACACCAAAUCCAUCCUGUGACUCCAAAUCCAUCCAGCUCUACCAGGUUUAUUUGAUGAAGGAAAGCCAGAAGGCAAAUGAUGGGAUGGUUUGGCCAUGAACAGAAUGACAGCUUUGAAAAGGAUUUUCCCAAAAUUCCACUUUUGCCUCUGAAAGCAGCUCCUGAAGGGAAGUUGUUGCCUCUGAGGUGCCACAGAGCCUUUAAGGACAAGGAGAUGUUGAUCCUAAUCCAGAGGAAUUGAAGAUUUCCCUAGAGGCUUCCAGGCACAGGACCAUGAGACAUCAACAGCUCCACUAAUGCUGGAAACAGGAAGGAGAGAGAAGCUCCAGGAACACCCCACUGCAGCUGGGACAGAGCAUGGUCAGCCUCACAGGGCAGCACCUCCCACAUCCCAGCCCUGGGACACAGGGAAAAGCAGAGACUGGGAAAAUGGAAAUGGUUGAUGGGUUUGCUGCUGAGCCAGGGAUGUGCCUGUGCUCAUUCCUGAUGCCCUGAGCUCCUCCUGAAGCAAGAGCAGCAGGAAGAGCAGGGGCAGGGAGUGGCUGUGGUGCCUGGCAAAGGGGACAGCCCAGGUUCCAAACCCCAGGGUAGAGCCUCUGGCUCCAGGAGCGCUGCAGAGAUGGGAUGGUGCUGCUGCAAGAGGAUUGUGGCACCUCCUGCCUGUGGAACUCUGACCUGGGGCUGCUCCUGCCUCUCCUCCUCACCUUUAUCUCCUCAUCUGCGGGAUACAAAGGAGAGGAAAACCCAGGGAUGAGCUGUCUGCUGCUUGGUUGCACAAGGACACA